AAGUGGGGGCGCUGGCAGACUG
rnacentral:miRNA from 1 species